rnacentral:rRNA from 1 species
CCUACGGGAGGCUGCAGUGGGGAAUAUUGGACAAUGGGCGAAAGCCUGAUCCAGCAAUGCCGCGUGAGUGAUGAAGGCCUUAGGGUUGUAAAGCUCUUUUACCCGGGAUGAUAAUGACAGUACCGGGAGAAUAAGCUCCGGCUAACUCCGUGCCAGCAGCCGCGGUAAUACGGAGGGAGCUAGCGUUAUUCGGAAUUACUGGGCGUAAAGCGCACGUAGGCGGCUUUGUAAGUAAGAGGUGAAAGCCCAGAGCUCAACUCUGGAAUUGCCUUUUAGACUGCAUCGCUUGAAUCAUGGAGAGGUCAGUGGAAUUCCGAGUGUAGAGGUGAAAUUCGUAGAUAUUCGGAAGAACACCAGUGGCGAAGGCGGCUGACUGGACAUGUAUUGACGCUGAGGUGCGAAAGCGUGGGGAGCAAACAGGAUUAGAUACCCUAGUAGUC